rnacentral:lncRNA from 1 species
UUGAAGAGUGCACUUCAUGAGAAGCACGAGCUUGUGCUCUCGAAGCGUACAGCUUUUGUGUGUGAUGGGUGCGGAAACCGGGAGUGGUGUGGUCAUUCUACUGUAAGGAGUGUGAUUUCAAUCUCCACCCGAAGUGCGCGCUGGAGGGAGACAAAAAGAUCGAAAAUGGUGCCAAGCAGGCAGAGGAAGAAGAGUGUAGACGUAAAUUUAUUCCUCCUCCUUCUUGGUUAAAAUUACACCGACAAAACAAUUAACACCUUAGAAUCAAGGUCAAGGUCAAGUGCCUCACGCGCCCACGAUGAAUGGAGGGCUUUGGUCGAAGAAUCUCCGAUACUAAAGUUAGAAUUUAGAGAAAAAAAAUGUUUAAAGAGUUUUUGGAAUUUUGUAAGUGUGUGGUGCCAAGCAGGAAGAAGAGGAAUCCAAAGAAGGAUGGGUUUGUGAUGGUGGUGUUUGUACAGAAGCUUAAGAAGUGUGUAUCAUGUAUGUGUAAUGUGUGUGUGAUAAUAAGGCUUGAAACUGCAUCUAGCAAGUAGUGACUUGUUAUGUUGCUGUCGUUUUAGAUUGUGUAAUAUUAUAAUUAUUAUUAUAAGAUGAGUGUGACAAAUUAAGAACUUUAUGAUAAUUAUUUUGCUUUUUGUACUUUUUUUGGAAGAGGAUCCUCUCUUGAUCUCAGGAUGGGGAUCCUCCUAAUCACGAAAUCCAGACCGUUCAAAUUUAAUUCAACGGUUCCAAACAGAUGAAUUUUUUAAAAGUUAUAAUAAUUGUAACUAUUAAAUUAAAUUUGAACGGUCUAGAUUUCGUGAUUAGGAGGAUUUUCAUCCUGAGCUCAGGAGAUGAUCCUCUUCUCUUUUUUAUGAAUUAGUUAUCACAAAAAUAUGCAAAGUGCUACUUAAAUAUUUAUUGUUACUUUUUACAUAUCCUGUUAAUUUUUAAUCAUGAAUAACGCUGCUCCUAUCAUUUCUCUCUCACCUUUUGUCUUUCGGUCAUAAAUUCCACAAAUGAGCUCCUCUCAUCUCCAUCAAAACCAUAAACAGAAAACACUAGGGAUAAGGAGGUUUGACCCAAACUCAUCUCCCCUCUCUUUACUCUUAUUUUCAUGCCACUAAUCCGCGACAAAAAGGAUAUCCAAGAGAGAGACAAAAGCGAUUGGGUGAAAGAGGAAGAAAACCGCUUAAGGGCUCGUUUGAAAGUACUUAUAAAUGAUUAAAAGUACUUUUAGAGAUUAUUUUUUAAAUCAAUUAUUGGUAAAACGUAAGUUAAUAAUGAAAAAGUACUAGAAAUGCUUUCUGUAAGAAGCAUACAACUGGUGCUUUGGAAUUCAAAUAACAUUUUCUCUAAAAAUGUUUUUAAUCAUUUAAAAAUAUUUUCCAAACGAGUUCAAAUUCUUUGUGGAUGGUACUUCAAUAGCCACUAGUGAAUACUUUGUACUCACUUUCUAAUUUAAUUCAAUUAGAAAAUAUCAAGCGUUCUUUAUUUUUUAAAAUCUAAAAAAAAUUAAUAACAUGUUCAUUGUUUGUUUGUUUUUUGUUAAACUAUAUAUUUUAUUAGAUUAGAUAUUAAAUUAGUCAUCGACGGGGUUUAAACCCAUGCUAAUGUAAUGGCUGAACACAUUUUCACCACUGUGAUAAAUGACCACUUGCAACAUGUGUCAUUAUUUUUUAAAAUAAUAAAAUGUGUUAAAUAUUAUUGGACAAAAUCAAAAGAUGAGUACUAGUAAGUAUUCAAUUAUUAUCCUUUUGUUGAUGCUACACUACAUAUGAAUUAGGGGGUGAGUUUAAAAAACCGAAAAGCAAAAAAAAUCGAAUCGAACACUGAAUUGAAACCGAAUUAAAAAAACGAACUGAACCGAACCAAACCGAACCAAAUUAAAUACAUAUUAAUUUUAUUUAUUUAUUUUGGAUGUUUAUUUUGAAAGUGCAAUUUUAAAUAAAUUGUUCACCUAAUUUUAAGCCCAAAUAUGUUGAAAGCCCAAUUUUUCCUCUUUGUUUCCUCCUUUUUUAUUCUCUCAAGUGCUAUUGAAAACUCGUCCAAGGUUUGAAGCCAAACCAUAGAGCACAUAGAGCGUGGUGGAGGCAGGCAAGGAAGGCUUGCUGUUUCUGGUUUUGAGACGAGAAAAGAGAAAUACAACAAAAGCUACCCCAACUUUCAACAAAAGGGGCUUAGAGCUGGUUUAGUAUUGCUGUGCUUUGAAGAAAAAAAAAACUACUUCUGAUGUGCUGUGAGAAUAAGCAGUUGUGAAAUAAAGCAGCAAAGUGUUUGGUAAAUUUUUUUGUAAAAGUGAUUUUGGGAAAAAAAAAGAAAAAAAAAAGCAGUAUUAUAGUAUUUGGUAAACUUUUAUGUAAAACUGUUGUGAUUGUGUAAAAUGACCAAAAAGAGUUUGGUCUUAUUUAGUGUGCCUUGAAGGGCCCACUUCUUUUAUUUGGUCUUCCUCUUCUUCUCUCUUUCUUCCAUUUUUCCCGUGAGACUCUCCUUUCUCUCUAACUCUCUUUCUCUAUGAUACUCUCACUCUCUCUAUUUACUGAGAGAAUCACCCACUCCAACACCAAUUUUCGAGUGAAAUCCAUACCAAUAUUCCCUGUUUUAGGUGUAGUUUGACCUAUGGAUUCGAACGGUGGCGUUGCCUGUGAAGAUCAAGUACUCAAAAAUGAAGAAAGCCAACAUUUCCCUCUCGGUGAAAAACUCUUAGACGAGUUGACCUGAGGCUCGACAAAAUUAGGGUGCUUCAAACUUAAUUCAACCUUCAUUUAAUCUCAGGUACAACUUCUGUAUCAUGUAUAUCGAAUUUUGGCAUGAAAUUCUUGGGAUUUAACCCCAAAUGCCAUCUUUGUGUUCAUGCCCAUAAAUCUGGUGACCUUCUUGGUCAUUUUUCCAGUGAACUCGAGCCUGAAUCUAUACCAAUUGCCAAAUCUCAACUCUGGGUAACUCUGAAUCUACACUGAGCUGGAGAAACUUAGAGAACGAGAGAGAUUGCUGGGAGAACGAGAGAGAUCGCUGCUGGGAGAAUGAAAGAGAUCUGGGAUUGAAGUUUUCUGGUUCGGGUUUUGCGAGAGCUGAAAGUGUGAGGAAAUGAGGGCAAUUUUGGGUUAUUGAAAAAUUCAUUAAAGAUUACUGUUCAACCGUGUUAUUGAAAAAUUCAAUGUUUUGUGGGACGAGUUAACGUUAUACUUACUACAUAUUUGUAUUAUCUCUUUAAUAGAGGUAGGACUCGCAAACACAUGUAGAUCUUAUCUCUAUAAUAGAUAGUACAAAUAAUGAUACAAAUAUGUAAUAAAAGUAACAUUUUUGUUCGUGCGACUGGACUUAGCAUUAACAUGAACAUGGAGACAUGCAUUUUGUUUGUUGGCCAUAUUUUACCUGUCCAAAAUCCAUGCGGGUAGUGUUGGUGGAAAAGGAAUGUCUUUACAUCCAACACUUACUAAGUUCUAACAACUAUAAUAAGCCCUGGUAUGGUUUGAAUGUCAAAAAAUCAACUCAAACGUGUGACUCUAGUUAAUCUUAAUUUCAAUGGGCGCUGGCUAGUCAAAAAGUGUGUUUAUCCAAACACUCAAGGUUAAAGUGGGACCAUAUAUAGAAACAACUCAAUUACAUGAUUCAUUAAGUUACUUCUUUUUUGUAUUUAGUUUUAAUUUAGCUUAAGUACAAUAAAAAAUGCACAUAACCUCAUUCUUUAUGAGAGUGUCUAAUCAAUGAUGUAAGUCACGUAUCAAUUUUUUUUUAAUCCUUCAAUAAGAAGAUGAGAAACUGUAAUUUAGUAGGUGAAACCAACAAAAUCAUGACUGUGGAUGCAAGUUUCUUUCUCCUUGAUCUUGUACAAGAUUGCACCUACAAAACAAUUUACACCUUAGGUCAAGGCCAAGAGCCUCACGCGCCCACGAUGAAUGGGGGAGGCUUUGGCCGAAGAACCUCCGAUGCCAAAGUUAGAAUUUAGAGAGAAAGUGUUUGAGAAUUUUGGAGAGUUUUAGCAAGUGAAUGAGAAGUCUCUUUGGGAGAAUAGAAUAGGGCUUUUAUAGGGGAGUGUGGCCUUGGUGAUUCAAUUUAGCAAUUAAUAUAUUAAUUAGGUGUAAAUAUAUUAAUUGGCUAAUUAUCAUAAUAAAAGAAAUGUUUUUGGAGGUUUUGGGAGGUUAUGGAAUGAGGAUGGAUGAGACAAAAUUGAACUUGUUACCUAUUUUGGGUACUCCUAAUUUGGUUGAUGGAUGAUUCUCCACUGCUCGCAUGUAGGAAACUCGAUAUGCCUUAAGGGUAAAUUUAUCAUCUUCACCCAAAAAUCUACAUGUCGCCUUAUGAUUAUUAUUGGCUCCACAAAUGCCCACACACCUGUUGGGCUGCUCGUAGGAAAUGGCAGCAGGUGUAGAGAUCUUCUUGCUCUAGGAAACUUAGGACUGCUUCCUGUUUUGAUGUAGAUUCCCUCUUUAAUAUGAAAUUAGAUACUUCUAACAAAGGGAAAUAAAUUUCUUUCAAAGCCUAUUUAAGUCCACCUUAAGUGGGUUGUUAAAUCAACUUUGGAGAGCGAUUAUUAUACCCUACAAGAGAAAGAGCUUAGAGGAUAUUUGUUCCUCCUCCUCUAGCAACCUUCUACAUCUUGCCCAUGCAAAUGACCGUCUUUCGUUGUUUUCUUCGUCUUUCCCGCGUCGCACCGAUGUAAGGAAAACUUAAUUCUCAUUGUCUUUUUCUUAGGAGGUGUUGCCACGGGGCAGGCGUCGGGGUGGUGCAGCACGUCGGCUAGCAGGGGCCAGGAGUUGGCUUGUCAUGGGCCAAUGAGGUGGUGUGGCAAGGGCCAUUGCUUGUGCUGCUCGGCUUGAUUGAAGCCAAGGAUUAGCUCAACAUGGGCCGAGGAAGUGGCAUGACAUGGGCAACAGUUUAGGCUACUUGCCAAAAUGAGGAAACUGCUUGAGUUUAAUUUCUCAAUUGCCGUAGAUGGAGCAAUCAAGGAUAAAACUACCAAGAUCGGAGCUGCUGAAGAUGAAGUGUCAGAUGAGUGAACUGUUAAAUGCAAAAGUGGUUGCUGCCCCUGACCAUUUGUUGCCUAGUUGAUCUUCAAGCAUUCGAUCUUUUAAACUAUGUGGCAUUCUCGCACUGGAUAGCUUACCCAGAUAGGAGUCGGGGAAUUAGUUUACCCUCUCACACUAGAUAACAAUUAGUUUACCCUCUCACACUGGAGAGCAAUUAGUUUACCCUUUCGCACUUGAGAGCAAUUAGUUUACCCUCUCGCGCUGAAGAGCAAUUAGUUUAUCCUCUCGCACUGGAGAGUAGACCCUUUUAGGUGUCGGGGAAUUGGUUUACCCUAUCGCACUGGUGAGCAAUUAGUUUAUCAUCUCACACUGGAGAGCAUGGAAGUCGUUGUCGUAAGUGCAGUUGAGGAAAGCUGGACUAUUGGACAACUGAAAUAAUCCUCAUGCUGCGAGGUCUUGUUUGGUGAACUGCUUGUGGAACCCACGUAAUGGUGUAAGUGCAAUGAGCUGCUCUCUGAAUUAUUGUACCAUCAUUAGGUGCUUCAUCUUGUGCCAUUUUGAGGCUUGGUUGGUGCGAGAAAUUGCGCAAUUGCUUGGUCAUGAGCCUUUCUACUUCUUCCUGAAUUUUCCUUUGUUGAGGUGGCAAAGCUCUCGACUACCCCUGAUCAUGAUGUGCUGAUCUAAGCUAUUCUUCCAUAUGUUCGGCUCGUCUAUGCCACGACUGCGGUGGGUGUGGUAUGUUCCUAGCAGGCGAGCGUGUAACUCACAGGCUGCUGGUUAAACUUGAGCCGGAUUGAGUGACAUGUUCUUUCCUUUUGCUGUGCUGCCUGCUUCGAUGUGAUGUGAAAAAUACUCCUUGCGGGUCUAGCCGUGAAUGAAUACUUCGCUUGGAAGGUUGUCCAUAUUGAAAAUCGGAGUGUGACUUCAACUGUGAUCGUAUGCUCGUCCAUGGGCUUGAUUAGGAAUGCACGCUUAUCCUCACACUAAGACAAGAGUAUACGCUAUCCCAAUGAUCCAAGUAGGAGCAUAAACUGCCAUAAUGUAAGGAUCAUGGCUGGUUGAUGAGCUACUUUCCAGGACGCUGGUGGAGAGGUUCAUAUGCCCUUGUUUUACUUCGGGACACCUCUUUCGAGACACGUUGGAUCUUGAUGCAUUGCAAGAGUUGAUUCACCAAGGUUGUCUGUUGUGCAAGGAUGCUCGUUAACUCUAUGACUUGUCAAGACAAGUGUUGUUCACCAUUUAGAUUAGAAGAGCUUGGAAAAAAUGUGCCUUAUUGAGCAGUGGAAGUGUGGUAGGCUCCGAGCGCGAGAUUUGAGUUGGGAAAUGUCAAAUCCACGAAGAAAAUGUGGUGAAAAUACCCCCGGCUUGAUGGUAGGUCCGGAUGGUUGAGAUAGUCUUGGGCCGACUUGGGCUGCUUGGGAGGCCAUGAAGGCAGGUUGGGUUACGGGAGUAAGCGGGCCACAUGAGUGGGUUACCCGACGGGAGCAGGCUGGGUCACGGGAGUAGGCUGGGCCACGGGAGUGGGCUGCUCGGCGGAAGCAAGCUGGGUUGCAAAGCAGGUUGGGUCGUGGGAGCAGGCUGGGCUACGGGAGUGAGAUGCCCAGCGGGAGUAGGCUGGGCCACGGGAGUGGGCUGCUCGGCGAGAGUAGGCUGGACCGUGGGAGUAGGCUAGGCCGCAGAAGCAUGCUAGAUCAUGGGAGCAGGUUGGGUCGCGGGAACAGGCUGCUCAAUGCGUGGUGCAUGCGGAUGCGAGGCUUAGGCUCGGGCCCGUGCAAGCUUGGAUGGCAUGGCUUGGGCCAUGGUGGAACCUUGUAGUGGUGGUGCCACUCUGCUUACGCCUGCAUUUUGCCUCAUGGAUCUCCGUGAUCCCAUUUCUUUAGUAUUGGAAUUUUCUAAAUUUCUAGCCAUUAUAUUUUUCUUAUACGUUUUAUCAAAGAACCUUUGCAAAUAAAAAAUUCUAAUAAUAAGAAUGUAUGAAAAAUAUUCAAAUGGACUAGAAAAUAGAGAAAAACCUUAUGCAAGAGUCUUCUACGAGUAUGGAUUUCAACUUUCAAUGAAAGCACCAAUAUGGAUGCAAAUUUCUUCCUUCUUGAUCUUGGACAAGAUUGCACCUACAAAACAAUUUACACCUUAGGUCAAGGCCAAGAGCCUCACGCGUCCACGAUGAAUGGGGAGGGCUUUGGCCGAAGAACCUCUAAUGCUAAAGUUAGAAUUUAGAGAGAAAGUGUUUGAGAAUUUUGGAGAAUUUUAGCAAGUGAAUGAGAAGUCUCUUUUGGAGAAGAGAAUAUGGCUUUUCUAGGGGAGUGUGGCCUUGGUGAUUCAAUUUAGCAAUUAAUAUAUUAAUUACAUGUAAAUAUAUUAAUUUUCUUAUUAUCAUAAUAAAAGAAAUGUUUUGGGAGGUUUUGGGAGGUUAUGGAAUGAGGAUGGAUGAGACAAAUUUGAACUUGUUACUUAUUUUGGGUACUCUUAAUUUGGUCGAUGGAUGAUUCUCCACUGCUCGUGUAAUACCCUGAAAAAUGUAAAUAUAGGAAUUUGGCAUUCAUAAUUAUGAUUAUGUAAAAAGAAUUGGGAAUUUAUAUUAAUUCAUAAAAUUUUAGUUUUAUAGUAAACUAGUUACGAGGUUUAAAGUUUAGAUAUUAAUUUUUGAAAAUCUGUAGACCUUUCAAGGUCAAAAUUUAUGUUUUUGAAUAAAGCCCGAUCUCACAAACGCGUAGGCGCAAACGGAACGCAAUUUGGAGAUAUAACGAAGAAGUUAUUAACGCUUAAAGUCGAGGGUACAAUUGUAAAUUUAUCCUUUAUGGAAUGCUCCAGAUUUUUGGAGCCAAAUCUGGAAGGCCACGUGUGUGGCCCAGAUUAAAAGUAAGAAAAGUUAGGCGGUAGAGAUGGAAGAUAAAGGAGGGAAAGGAGGGAGAGAGGAGCCAAUCAGGAAAGAGGGAGAUGAGAGAGUGACCAAUGAGAGAAGAGAGAAAGGAGGGGAAAGGAGAGGAAGGAAGUGCACCGGAACCUUCGACCCGGUUCUAUGUCAUCAACCCGACCCGGCUUCCUCCACCUCCUCCGGUGGCUUUUCGUCAGUUUUUCCGACGAAUUAUGCUACCAAACCAUCUUAAAAAGGUUUCAUGACCUCCCCUUGACUGAUUCUAUCACAAAUCAGAUAGAUAUUGGCCCUGAAUCUGUGCAAAACCCCACGGGGGGUGCACAAGUUCAUAGGUGGCGAUCCACCAAAUCUGAAGCAAACUCUCCCAAUUUCCACCACCCACAUGUUCCUUAAGAACCUAGGAAUAAAGCCCAAACAAGGUUUGGGGCGUCGGAGCUGCUAUGGAGUCAAAUCAAGAACACCCAUUUCUAGGGUUCCCGGCGUAUUCGAGGUAAAUUGGAGCAUUUCCGGGAUAAAUUUCCCUUGGUCACAUGUAUGAAAGUUACUCUACGUAUUGAGAUCUUCAUUCCUGUAAUUUUUGGUAAUUUUUAGACAUAGUUGAGUUUCCGGCGAGUCGGGGUGGCAGACUGCCACUCGCAGCGGCGGGUGCGGCGGCGCACGGCUAGGAAGUCAACAAUUGCUCUUUAUGCGAAUUUCGUUAUUCAAAUUAUGUCUUUAAGAUCAAAAUUGUUGUGGUUUGAAUAUUAUUACGAUUUUGGUAUAUGUUGGAUUAGCUAAAUAUAUUCAUAUUUUGUUUAAUUUUGGAAUAUGUGAACUACGAAAUGCUUGAUCUCGCUCCAGGGUACGUAGGCAGUCUAACAGUGUUAGAUGCAGCCUUAAAUAACUCGAGAAAUAAUUCUUAGAAUGAGAAGUGUGUUAUAAAAGGAAAUAGAAACAAGAUGAGAAUAAAUUUGUACGUUGAUGUUUAAAUCUUUUUAAUUAUGAAUCAAGGUCGGAAACAAGACAUAGAAUUAAAGGAAGGAAUUUAGUAAAUAAUUUGAGUUUUACUUUCUUAGUCGGUUUUGAAUUUAAGGUAAGGAUUAGUGGAUUGAAUAUGGUAGAAAAUAAACAAUUAAUGGUAAACAACUAAACAUGAUUUUUUUAGGUUGGGUCUAUCAAAAAUAAUAACAUUAUUUCCCGAAUUAAAGAAUUUAUUCGAGACGGGGUGUUACAGCUUGCGUGUAGGAAACCCGGUAUGCCUCAAGGGUAAAUUUGUCAUUUUCACCCAAAAAUUCACGUGUCACCUUGUGAUUAUUUUUGGCUCCACAAUGACCAAAACAUGUUCUUAAACUAGAAAGCCCAAAACGAAAGCACAAACUACUUUAAAACCAAAAUCAAAACAACAUAAUUCACCGAAACAAAUCAUAGCUCGGCAACCCAAUUUAAUUAAAAUAAACUUCAUCAAGCAAUUAAGUACUAAUUCAGCAUAUCAGCUUGAUUGGGCUCAAUUCUUCAAAUUAACUAAAAUGCCAAAGAAAUUUGAUCAUAAUCAUCUCCUCAUCCUUCUUUAUCUUCUCUCACGCUCAUUAGGUAAAAUUCAUAUUCAUUCUCUUUUGUCUAUUAUUUUCGUUGAUGCUAUUCAGGAAGGUAAGAAACGAAUUGAGAUAUCGAGUGUAAAGAGAAAAUACUCUUAGUAAACUGAGUUAUAAACGUCAAUCUAAUUUUGAUACAAAUAUAUAUAUUGCAUGAAUUUAUGCAUGGCAAGGUAUGCAUUAAAUAACUAAAUUAAGUUUCAAUAAACUGAUUUUGUAAUUACAUUUGUAGGUUCAUAUAGAAAUUAUGGCUUUAAUUUGUAAUGUAUUUCAUGAGUUUAAUGUACAAAGGGUCCAGAUAUAUAUGAGAAGAAAGAGGGGGAAGAAAGAGAGAUAAGAUGGCUGCUGCAAGCAUCCAACAGAAAAGAGAAGACAAUGACUGAAAAAGGAAGACAAAUUAGACAAGCUAGCCUAAUCUACACCUUACAAAAAACAACUUGCACUAAUCAAUCACAUCCCUUAAAUCAAGGAAAGAAGACUAAUUACUCUAGUGCCUAGAGCUAUCCUUAGAGAACAUGGUAGCUGACUCAAGAGGCCAAAAUACACUUCAACACUCCCCCUCAAGCUGGAUCGAAGAGGUUAACUUAGCCAAGCUUGCCUAAUAAUCGAUGGAACUGAGUGCAUGCCAAUGCCUUUGUAAAGAGAUCUGCCAAUUGAUCGUGGCUUCGUGUGAACAUGGUCCAGAUGAUUGAGUUUGAACUUGAGCUCUGAUGAAAUGACAAUCCACUUCAAUAUGUUUGGUUCUUUCAUGGAACAUAGGGUUGGCAGCAAUAUGUAUGGCUGCCUGAUUAUCACACAUAUGUGACAUAUGAGUAUAACUAGAAAACCCUAAGUCUGAAAAAAGCCCUUUAAACCAAAUAAGUUCACAAGUAGUGGCUGCCAUGGCUCGAUACUCAGCCUCUGCGCUGGAACGAGCAAUUACCUGUUGCUUCUUGCUCUUCCAUGUGACAAGGUUUCCACCAACAAAUGUACAAUAGCCUGUGGUUGAUUUCCUAUCAAUUGCAUUACCUGCCCAGUCUGCAUCUGUGUAGCCACUAAUGACAGUGGAUUGAUUGUUGUGCAUUGUAAUUCGUUGCCCUAUUGAACCCUUGAGAUAACGAAUGAUUCUUUUAACAAUGUUAAGGUGAUCAAUAAUGGGAGAGUGCAUAAACUGACUAGCCAAGCUCACUGCAUAAGUGAUAUCUGGACGAGUGAUGGUGAGGUAUAUGAGCUUGCCUACUAAUUGUUGAUAGUAAGUUACAUCAUGCAUGGCUUCUCCAUCUAUGCUGAGGUUCAGUUUACAAUCAACGAGAGUGAUAGCAGCCUUACAGUCAAGCAUUUUUGCUUCUUGAAGAAGGUCCAAUACAUAUUUCCGUUGAUGUAGAAACAGUCAUUUUGAAGAUGUUGCCAUUUCGAUCCCUAAAAAAUACUUUAACCUCCCCAAAUCUUUGAUAGCGAAAGUUUGAUAUAGUGAGAGUUUUAGUGCCUCAAUCUCCACGGUACUCUCUCCAGUGAUGAUAAGAUCAUCAACGUAGAUGAGGACCACCAACUUCCCACUGGUGCCAGUUCUCACAAAUAAUGAAGAAUCAACAUUACUACGCACGAAUCCAGCCUUUUCCAGAACAGAACUGAGCUUGGCAUACCAAGCUCUUGGUGAUUAUUUCAAUCCGUAUAUUGCCUUGUGCAAUUUGCAAACCAUGUUGCCUUUGAUACCAUCAUAGCCUGGAGGAGGUUGCAUAUACACUUCUUCCUGCAACUCUCUGUGAAAGAAAGCAUUCUCACGUCUAUUUGGUAGAGUGACCACUCACAAUUGAUUGCAACUGAAAGUAAAACCCUGAUCGAGUUCAUCUUGGCCAUCGAUGCAAAUGUUUCCUUAUAAUCUACUCCAAAGGUUUGGGUGAAACCUCGAGCAACAAGUCUAGCCUUGUGUCUCUCGAUAGAUCCAUCAGCUUUGAAUUUUGUUUUGUAGAUCCAACGACUUCCAACAGCCUUUUUUCCUGGUGGUAGUUGAACUAGACUCCAGGUGUGAUUCUCUUCUAGCGCACGAAACUCUUCUGUCAUGUCUUGUUUCCAUUGUGGGAGAAGAGAAGCUUCUUGAUAGCUUCUUGGUUCACAGUGCUUAUCAAUUUCACUAAGAAAUGCAGCAUGAGAUGUUGAGAACUUACUAAAGCUGAUACAUUCAGUGAUAGGAUGCCGUGAGACAUAUGUAACAUAGUCUUGCAACCUAGCUAGAGGUUUUCUGAUUCGAUGAGGGUUUCUCUUAAUCACCGGAGACUCUUUAGUGGAUUGAGAAUGAUCAGAGUAGGGCUCUUCUUCACUUUCAUUGGCAAUAAUUUGGUCAGUUUGUACCUCUUCACAAUCUGGACUCACAGUGACUGAUCUUUCUUCCAACAUCGGAUGAUUAAAGUUUUGAGGGAGUGGGAACAUGUCAACUAAAUCCUCCCCCUGACUUGUAAAAUAGGGAUAGUCUUCUUCGAUUUUCACAUCUCUUGAAACUGUGGACUUCUUAGUGACUGGAUUGAAGCACUUGUAUCCUUUUUGGGUGGCCGAGUAUCCCAUAAACACAUAUUUGGUUACCCUAGCAUCUAGUUUGUCACGGUUCAAGGUUUGGAUGUGAAUAACACAAACACAACCAAACACCUUGAGGUGUGUCAAAUAUAUUUUCCUCCCCUUGAGAACUUUAUAGGGAGAUUUAAACCCUAGCACACGACUUGGAAUUCGAUUGAUGAGAUAAGUGGCAGUAAGGAUGGAAAACGACCAAAAUUUGUUUGGAACAUGCAUGUGAAUCAUGAGAGCACGAGUCUUCUCCAAGAGAUCUCUAUUUUUCCUCUCGGCUACUCCAUUUUGUUGAGGAGUCCCUACACAGCUGGUUUGAUGUAUGAUACCCUAAGAACUUAAGUAUUGAAGCAUGUUGUUCGAUAGAAAUUCAGUGCCAUUAACUGACCUUAAAACCUUAAUGUUUGAUUGAAAUUGUGUUUUAACAUGCAUGUAAAAAUCUUUGAAAAUGGUUGGAACUUCACUCUUUGAUUUCAUAAGAUAUAGAAAACUUGUUCGAGAGAAAUCAUCAACAAAUAGAACAAAGUACUUAAACCCUUCCACUGAUUCAGUUGCAUGUCCCCAUACAUCGGUGUGAACCAUUUCAAAAGGUUUACUUGUCCUAGACAUUGAAUUACCAAAAGGUAGCCAAGUAAACUUAGAAAAUUGACAAGUAUCACAAGUAGGAUAAGGGUUACAAAAAUUUGGAAACAGUUUAGACAAGACAACUUUAAAGGGGUGAGCUAAUCUCCUAUGCCAAAGUUGGUUUUCAUCUAUGGACUUCGAUUGAGCUUGAAGAGCCUGAGUGAAACAUGCAUUCUUACACAGGUAGUAAAGUCCAUUUAUGAAGACCCAUUCACCAAUCAUCUUCAUGGUGAGAACAUCCUGAAACAUCAUAUUAUUUGGUGAGAAAAGAGCACGGCAGUUUAGAGUGUUGGUGAUCUUUCCAAUUGACAAAAGUUGGAAAGGAAAGGUUGGUACAUAGAGGGCAGUGGAAGGUAUUUUUUGAGAGAGUAAGUUUAUUUCUCCUUUUCCCAAAACUAAGACAUUUUUUCCAAUUGCAACAGACACAUGCGAGGGACUUGAAUUUUUUUUUAAAUGAUGUAAAUUUGUAACUUUGUUUGUCAUAUGAUAUGUGGUGCCUGAAUCAAUUAUCUAACAAUCAGUUUCAGUACUAGUUAAUAGGGCAGUAGUGAAGGCUUUGAGUAUACCUGAUGUUUCUUCCUUUGGAACUUUCUCAUUUCUAGCAAGAAAGUCGGCAAAUUGUCCCAACAUAGCUGUGUAACUACCCUCUUCAUUGCCUUGACCAUGUGAGCCUCAUCCGUGUCCCUUACUUUGUAGGUAAGCUACAAAUGCAUUGAUCAAUGACAAUGGAUUGGCAAUGAACUCCAUGGAUCCUUGUGAAAUAGUAGGAGGGUGAACAUUAGCAAGUUGUGCCUUGAAAUGAGGUUGAAAUUGUUGUGAGGACCUUGGUAUCAUCUUUCCAUCUUUGCUGAACUUAGGCUUAAGUUCAGGAUGAAGUUCCCAACACUUUGACUAACACCAUUGCAAUAUUUGCAUUUUAGAUGUGUGUUUUUUUCCCUUGUAUACCUUGGCUUCUAAAUUCUUGUAAUUUGAUGCAUAUGCCCGAGUCUCAAUCAAUCUGGGGCUGUGAGCAGCAUUCAUAACCUUUUUCCUUGCUUCUUCUCGUUGGAUAGUUGCACAAACAUUGUUGAAGGUAGGUAAGUCUUGACUCAUCAAGAUGUGACUGCUUAGGUCCUCAUACUCAGAGCUCAAACUCCAUAACAACUGAUAAAUUUUGUCUUCCUCGUCUCAUUUUAAGAGAAUGGUAGGAUUAUGGUAUGUGGGAGAUAUACAUCCAACUCAUUCCACAUGGCUUUGAGACUCCCAAGGUGUUGAACAAAUGCUUUCCUUUCUUGUUGAGCACUGGCAAUGUCUUUCUUUACUUGGAAGACCCGCACAUAGUUGUUUUGAUUUCCAUACAUAUCCUGCAAAGCUUUCCAAAGAUUAUGUGCGGAAUUGGAGUAGUUAAAAAUUUCAGCAAUAUGUUUCUCCAUGGUGUUGAGCAGCAAGGAUACGACAAGUUGAUCUUUGCAGAGCCAUGCAUCGUAUGUAAAGGAAGAACGGUCUGGAGCUUCCACGCUUCCAUUUACAAACCCUAACUUCCCUUUGCCUCCGAGAGCUAGUGAAACAGCUCAGGACCAAGGAAGAUAAUUAAACUCGUUUAAGAGAACUGAACAUAAACGUUGACUGGUGUUAACCUCAACGUCUGAGAAGUUUGGAGAAAGACUAUGCUGGGUUUCCUCAUCAUGAUUCACAGAACUUUCUUCAAUCAUGACUUAGACUUUGAAAGAAAAAAUUCGCAGCAACAAUAAUGGCAGAGAUAGGUUAUGAAAGAACCUUCUCUGAUACCAUAUAGAAAUUAUGACUUUAAUUUGUAAUGUAUUUCAUGAGUUUUAUGUACAAGGGGUCCAGAUAUAUAUGAGAAGAAAUAGGGGGAAGAAAGAGAGAUAAGAUGACUACUGCAAGCAUCCAACAGAAAAGAGAAGAUAAGGACUGAAAAAGAAAGACAAAUUAGACAAGCUAGCCUAAUCUACACCUUACAAAAAACAACUUGCACCAAUCAAUCACAUCUCUUAAAUCAAGGAAAGAAGACUAAUUACUCUAGUGCCUAGAGCUAUCCCUAGAGAACAUGGUAGCUGACUUUAGAGGCCAAAAUACACUUCAACACUUCAAUAGUUCAGCAGCAGCAGAACCAAUUGGAAUCUGCUACGGCCGAGUAGCCAACAAUAUCCCGCCACCCUCCAUCGUCCUCUAAAUCCUCCAAGGCAACGGAAUCUCAUCCAUCCGCCUUUUCAACACCGACCCUGCCACCCUCAGCUCUUUCUCCGCCACCCCAACAAUCCACCUCACCAUCGGCGUCCCCAAUGAACUCCUCCCCACCCUUGCCUUCUCCUCUGUCACCACCACCCCUGACUAGCUCCAAUCAAACAUCCUCGCUCACAUCCCGCAAACCAAAUCUGUUACAUCACCGUUGGCAACGAGAUUUUCCUAAAAGACCCUUACUACACUAUCCACGUUCUUCCCGCCAUUCUCAAUCUUCAUCAAGCCCUCCAAACCCUAGGCUUUGACAAUUCCAUUAAGCUCUCUUCCCUAUAAGCCGCCUCCGUUCUGUCCACCUCAUACCCUCCAUCCUCAGCCUCAUUCGACCCCUCCGUCUAACCUUUUUUUCUCCCCCUCCUCCGCUUCCUCCGGGACACGAACUCUCCCUUCAUGGUCAACUCCUACCCCUACUUUAGCUACCUACACAACAAGAACUACGUCUCUCUUGGAUACGCGUUGUUUCGAGCCACCAAUGAGGUGGUUAACGACGACGAGUUGGUGUAUAGUAAUCUUUUCGACGCGAGUAUGGAUGAUUUUGUGAGUGUGAUGGAAAGGGAGAGAGUUGUUGGAGUUCCCGUGGUGGUUUCGGAGAUGGGGUGGCCGACCGACGGAGGGGAGGCCGUUAGUGUGGAGAAUUCGAGGGCGUACAAUGCGGAGGUGGUGAGACGGGCGGUGGAAGGGGUUGGGACGCCAAGGAGGCCGGGAGUUGGAGCGGAGGUUUUCUUGUUUGAUUUGUUUGAUGAGAAUGAGAAGUAUGGGGAAGAAUUUGAGAGGCAUUUCGGGAUUUUUGGGCCUGACGGGCUCAAGGCUUAUGACCUUAAUUUCAACUAAAAUUAUGCAAUGUAAUGCACCUACAAUACCACAAUAAAAUUACAUCGCUGUAACGGGCUACUCACAACUAGAUAUCAAACUCAUCACAGAAUACAUAUUUCAUUUACGAAAGUCGAAUCUGAUACCUUAUCCAACCAAACGUAGACAACUACCAACAAACCAAAUACUAGGUAUGCCAGAUUGGGCUCUUGUCAACAAUCAAAACAGGCCAAAGCCCAUAAAGAGCACGGGUUUUAAUUUUACGCUUGACGACCCGGAAAGGUCAAUGAUUUCAUCAAGUCAAUGUUGAUGAUGUUGUGGUCCAAGUACACUCUGUUUUUUUCCAAUGUUCACACUUGAAAACUUAAGUACGAAGAUUGCAAUUAUGCCUUAAAUAAACAAGGUAUUGUGAAAUAGACAAUAUGUGUGUGGCAGAAUAUAAAGUAAAUAAGACAUAAUAUUUACGAGAUUCGGCUAGUAUGCCUACAUUAUUAGGGCAUUAGCAAUAGUUUCUCUCAUUAUUCAAUUGAAAUUACAAAGGCAAUGGAAAUAAUAUAUUGUGUAUCUUCUAUAUGAUAUAUUUGGAAGCUAAUAGGCUUUUAUAUAGAAAAAUGUAUACUUCUCUGCUAAGGUUAAGGAUUGUGAAAACAUAAAAUUACAAAUUUUGAUUAGUGGUGGAUUGUCUGACUUUUCUUCCCAAACUCACAACAUUAUAGGUUUAAUCUCUUUUACCCUUUGGAUUAGUUUACAAUUUCAUUUGUACUAAAAACUAAAUUUGAGUUUAACCAAGUUCGUUAAAUCAUUGUACUUCAUCUUUUUAAUUUAUAUUGUAUUCACGUUGGAAUUUCUCACUUAAUAGUUUAAGUGAGUUUCGUAUAAUUAUCUUCUUAUUUUCUUUAAGAACAAUACUUGACGGUUGAACAACUAGUAGUUUGAGUUAAAAAGACAAUGUGGCUGCUCUUUGGUUUGACAUCAAACUAAAUAAUACCUAAAAAUUAGGGUAAAAUACUGUUUACUACCCUCAUGUUUCGUGGUUUUCAACAUUUAGUACAUCAAGUUUUUUUCGUCUCAGAGUCAUACCUAAAGUGUAAUUUUGGGACAGUCUCAUACAUCCGUUAGUCAAACUGUUAAGUUUUUCGUUAACUAUGACGUAGCGCACUGACUGGGCGCCACGUGUCAUCCACGUUUUUUUUUUCCUUUUCUUUUCUUUUCUUCUUCCUUCUCCUUCUUCUUCUUCCUCCGACUGAAACUUUCUUUUUUUUCUUUUUUUUUUGCUUCUUCCUUCUCCUUCUUCCUUCAUUCUUCCUUCCCUUUCUUCCCAUUCUUCCUUCUCAUUCUCCUUCUUCUUCCUCCAAAAUCUUGGGAAGUUUUUUUUUUUUUUCUUCUUUCUUCUUCUUCCUCCUUCUUCUGGGGAAGUUUGUUUGUUUUUUUUUUUCUUUCUUUCUUCUUCUUCCUCCUUCUCCCUUCUUCUUCUUCUUCUUCCUCCGACUGCAAUUUUUUCUUCCUCCUUCUCCUUCUUCCUUCCCCUUCUUCUUCUUCCUCAAAAAAAAAAAAAAAAAAAAAAAACCUUUCAUCUUCCCCCAAAUUCGGAGGAAGAAGAACGAAGAAGGGGAAGGAAGAAGGAGAAGAAAGGGAAGGAAGAAGGAGGAAGGAGGAAGGAAGAAGGAGGAAGAAAAAAAAAAAACUGAAUCUGGGCAGAUUCGGAGGAAGAAGAAGAAGAAGAAGAAAAAAAAAAAGAAAAAAAAAAGAAAAAAAAUGAAAAAACUGAAUCUGGGUAGAUUCGGAGGAAGAAGAAGAAGAAGAAGAAGGAAGGAGGAAAGAGAAAGAAGAAGAAGAAGAAAAAGAAAAAAACAAAAAAAAAAAAAGCUUCCCCAGAUUCGGGAAGAAGAAGGAGAAUGAGAAGGAAGAAGAAGGAAGAAGGGGAAGAAAGGGAAGGAAGUAGGAAGGAGGAAGGAAGGAAGAAGGAGGAGGGAGAAGAAAAAAAAAGAAAAGAAUGUUGCAGUCGGAGGAAGAAGAAGAAAGAAGAAAAGAAAAGAAAGAAAAAAAAAAAAAACGUGGAUGACAUGUGGCGCCCAGUCAGUGCGCCACGUCACAGUUAACGAACUUAACAGUUUGACUAACGGAUGUAUGAGACUGUCCCAAAAUUUACACUUUAGGUAUGACUCUGAGACGAAAAAAACUUGAUGUACUAAAUGUUGAAAACCACGAAAAAUGAGGGUAGUAAACAGUCUUUUACCCUAAAAAAUAAGAAUGGGACAGGUGUCGAACUAAAAAACCGCUUUUAACAGGAAUGGCUGCUAAUUGUUCGCAAUCAAGCUUUUUUCUUUCUUUAUAAAAAAAAAAAGAAGAAUAAAAGCAAAGUAAAUAAGAAUAAGAAUAUCUUUAAACAGUAGUACUAAACGGCGAUAAAAGCAAAUAUUAAAUUUGUAUUGAGAUUUGAGAGAUAUUUUUUAGUGUGAUCGAUACAUAGGUGAUACACAACGUGUUAUUAUACAAGUGAUAAGAUAUAUGUGCUAAAAAGUUAAGAACUUAAAAAAUAAAAUUUACCACCACUUCUAUUAACAAGUAAAUGUGUUCACGUUACAAUUAAAAAUUUCUCAGAGAUUUGAGUAGGGUGACGCUGACACAUACAUGCUGAUGCAUCCAACGGAGCUCGUACGCGAACCUAUGCAAGAGAGAAUUCUAGACUCCCUCUCCCUCCCGGACUUGGAUUCUCUGCCCUCCCAAUUCGGUGCCCUUCCCGUGCCCUUCUGUUUGUGUGGCCACGGUUAAGUCACGUCAAUAUUUUAUAUUACUAUUUUUUUUUGUCUUAUUAUUUUUAUAAAAAACAAUAUAAAAUGUUAGCAUGGAUUACGUGACCACACAAAACAGGAGGGCACGAGGAGGGUAUCGAAAUGGGAGGGCAGAGAAUCCAAGUCCCUCCCUCCCACUAAAUUUAUGCAAUAUAAGUACACCCCACCAUGGAUUUCCCCCAACAUUACUCACUCUCGCAAAUCGCAAUUCACACAGCCUCCGGUGAAUUCGAAGUUCGAAAUCCCGACCUCGUCUAGGAACAUCCGAAAGAUCAAAAAUGUCGGACGGCGAUGUUAAAGCUGCCGAGCUGGUCGGCGCCGAACCCCACGACUUUGUCUCGCUUCUUUCGUCUUCCGAGAGGGACUUUCUUGUCCGUAACAAUGGUGAUCAGGUAAAAUUUCACCUCUUUUUUCUGAUCCUCUUCGAUUUUCUGGUGAAUUUCUUAGCGGUGCUUUGAAGUAGAUUCUGUCUGGGGUUCGUUAAUUUGGUACUUUGCAAGGUCUUAGACUGUGUUGGGUUGAAUUUUUAUUUCUGGGGUUUACUGAACUCAGCAUUUGUUUGUGCGAACUCAAGUUUUCGGGAAAGAUAGCAAACAGGCCCUAAGUUCCUCAACCCGUCCAACUAUUUGAUACAUAUUGUUUUAUUAAACAGUCUUUAAUUUGAUUAACUUUGAACAGGGAUGAUAUUUAAAUGAUAAUUAUGAAAAUAAACGGUUUAGAUUACGAUGGAGUCAGCAUGGGGUCAUUGGUUAACUCCAAAAACUCAUGUAUACUUGUCUGUAUAUUGUAUUUGACCCCAAUAAACAGUUACGGCAACCUAAAUUAUAAUCUCCUCCUCUACUACUAUUUUCUUCUAUCAUAUUUGUCUUCAUUUUCUUUCUUAUAUGAAAUACUUUAGUUGAAAAACCUUCCCAGCCUUCAGCAAUACUCCACAGUGUCUUGCAUCCACCCUCAACAAGCAUCUACAAAUAAUAGUAGUUGUCGACAUAUGUUGGAAUAAACUUUCGACAUGUGUUGACAGGAAUUGGCAGGUGUCUACUAGGUGCUCGACGAAAUGGCCCAAUGAAGUUUUUUGGUUGAUAUUAUGAUCCCGUUAUCUAAAAAUCCGGGCUAUGCGACUGGAUGUAACUACUGUCUUUGAAUUGUUAUUUUUUCGGUACCAUGUAUUAACUUGAAUAAUGAUUGGUUUAGAGAUACUAAUUUCAAAGGCUCACUGAACUAUCUGGAAUACAAAAUUUAGAGGUGUAGAGGGGUUAGUUUCGAUCGUUAUAUUGGUAAUGGGAUGAUAUAAUAGAGGAAUCAUAUCAUCAUAUGUCAAGUUUUGGAUUUGCAGAUUAAGGUUGAGAGCUUGAAGGGGAAAAAGCUUGGGCUGUAUUUUUCUGCAUCAUGGUGCGGUCCAUGCAAACGAUUCACCCCAGCUUUAGUUGAGGCCUACAAUGAACUCUCUCCAAAAGGUGAUUUUGAGAUUGUAUUUAUCUCCGCUGAUGAAGACGAUGAGUCAUUCGAAGGGUACUUCGCGAAGAUGCCAUGGCUUGCAUUUCCGUUCUCUGAUUCAGAGGCACGCGAUCGCGUGGACGAGUUGUUCAAAGUUAGAGGGAUACCCCAUCUUGUGAUCCUUGGCGAAGAUGGGAAAGUUUUGAGUGACAGUGGAGUUGAGAUUAUUCAGGAGUAUGGAGCUGAUGCGUACCCUUUUACGCUGGAAAAGUUGAAAGAGCUGAAAGAUGAAGAAGAAGCUGCCAGAAGGGAUCAGUCCUUGAAAACAAUCCUGGUCACCCGCUCGCGCGACUUUGUAAUUUCAAAUGAUGGAGAGAAGGUAAGUUUCAGUGCUGCUACUUCUUUAUGAAACUGACUUACUAGUAUCCUACUUUAUGAAUUCUGCAUGAAUUGUAACACGGCUGCACAAUCUGAAUUUUGUUAUUGAUGUGUGCAUAAAUCAAGGUGCCCGUCUCUGAACUAGAGGGGAAGAUAGUGGGUCUCUAUUUCUCGUUGUCUUUGUACGGUCCAUGCGUAGAAUUUACUCCAAAACUUGUGGAGGCUCAUGAUAAGCUAAAAGCAAAUGGAGAGAACUUCGAGAUUGUGUUGGUGCCACUUGAUGAUGAUGAAGAAUCAUUCAAGCAAUAUUUUGAGAAAAUGCCUUGGUUUUCUUUACCCAUCGGGGACAAAAGUGUACAGAAGUUGGCUCGGUACUUUGAGCUCUCAACCUUGCCCACAGUGGUUAUUAUUGGGGCAGAUGGUAAAACACUUGGUGAGAACGUUGCUGAUGCCAUUGACGAGCAUGGGAGUCUGGCUUACCCCUUCACACCAGAGAAGUUUGCAGAGCUCGUUGAGAUAGAAAAGGCAAAGGAGAAAGCUCAAACCCUGGAGUCAAUUUUGAUUUCCGGGGAUCGAAAUUUUGUCAUUGGAAAAGAUGGAACUCAGGUAAGAUAUAGGUUCCCGUUUUAUGGUUUAUACUGUGAUUCUUUUGUGUAAUGUGAGGACAAAUGCCCAAAGAUGGCUUCUUUCAGGGCAUGUAACUUGUAUGUGCGUGUGCAUCGGUGUGUUUUCUGUGGCAAUAAGUGAAUAACAACUAUUAUUUCUGCAUUCAGAUCCCUGUGACAGAUCUAGUGGGGAAGAACAUUCUCCUUUACUUCUCAGCUCACUGGUGCCCUCCAUGCCGUGCCUUUCUGCCAAAACUUGUUGAAGCCUACCAUGGGAUUAAGGCCAAGGACGAUGCAUUUGAAGUCAUUUUCAUCUCCAGUGACAGAGACCAAGGCUCUUUUGAUGAGUUUUUCGCCACAAUGCCAUGGCUUGCUCUUCCCUUUGGUGACUCAAGGAAAGCGUUCUUGAGUCGCAAAUUCAAGGUCCAGGGCAUCCCCAUGCUCAUAGCAAUCGGUCCUACUGGCCAAACCGUCACAAAAGAAGCAAGAAAUCUCAUCAUGCGUCAUGGGGCAAAUGCUUAUCCUUUCACCGAAGAGCGAGUGAAGGAGAUUGAAGCGGAAUUUGAGGAGAUGGCAAAAGGGUGGCCUGAGAAGUUGAAGAGUGCACUCCAUGAGAAGCACGAGCUUGUGCUCUCGAAGCGUACAGCUUUUGUGUGUGAUGGGUGCGAAGAACCGGGAGAGGUCUGGUCAUUCUACUGCAAGGAGUGUGAUUUCGAUCUCCACCCGAAGUGCGCGUUGGAGGGAGAUAAAAAGACGGAAAAUGGUGCCAAGCAGGAAGAAGACGAGUCCAAAGAAGGAUGGGUUUGUGACGGUGAUGUUUGUACAAAAGCUUAAGAAGUAAGUAUCAUGAAUGUGGAAUGUGUGUGUGAUAAUAAGGCUUGAAACUGCAUCUAGCAAGUAGUGACUUGUUAUGUUGCUGUCGUUUCAGAUGGUGUAAUAUUAUAAUUAUUAUUAUAAGAUGAGUGUGACAAAUUAAGAACUUGACAAUAAUUAUUUUGCUUUCAGUACUUUUUUAUGAAUUAGUUUUCAGAAAAAUAUGCAAAGUGCUUCUUAAACAUUUAUUGGCUCUAGUGCCACUGCACUAGGCUCCCAUCCUCAGUGCCAUUUCUCUUCACCCUUCGUCUUUCGGUCAUAAAUUCCACAAAUGAGCUCCUCCCAUCUGCAUCAAAACCAUAACUGGUGAGAGAGAGAAGCGAUUGGGUGAGAGAGAAAGAAAAUUGAUCAAGGAUUCGUUUGUAAAGUACUUAUAAAUAAUCAAAAACACUUUUGAGGAAAUUAUUUUUGAAAUUAAUUCUUGGUAAAAACGCAAGUUAAUCAUGAAAAAGCAUUGGAAGUGCUUUCUACCGGAAGCACAUAACUGGUGUUUCUUUCAUGAAGCACUUUUGGAACCCAAAUAACAUUUUCUUUAAAAACGUUUUCAGUCAUUUAAAAAUAUUUUCCAAACGAGUUCGAAUUCUUUGUGGAUAGUACUUCAAUAGCCAGUAGUGAAUACAUUGUACUCACUUUCUAAUUUAAUUCAAUUAAAAAAUAUCAUGCGUUCUUCAUUUUUAAAAACCUAAAAAAAAUUAAUAACAUGUUCAUUAUUAUUUUUUAUUUUUUUGUUAAACGAUAGAUUUUAUUAGAUUAGAUAUUAGAUUAGUCAUCGACAUGAUUUAAACUCACGUUGAUGCAAUGGUUGAACACCUUUUCACCACUAUGGUAAAUGAUCACUUGCAACAUGUUCAUUAUUUUUUAAAAUAAUAAAAUGUUUUAAAUAUUGUUGGACAAAAACAAAAGAUGAGUACUGGUAAGUAUCCAAGUAUUAUCCCUUUGUUGAUGCUACACUACCUAUGAGUUAGGGGUGGGUUUUAAAAAUCGAAAAGCAAAAAAAAAAAAAAAAAAAAAAAAAAAAAAAAAAACCGAACCGAACACUGAAUCAAAACCAAAAAAAUAAACCGACUUAAAAAAACGAACUGAACCGAACCAAAUUAAAUAUGUAUUAAUUUUAUUUAUUUAUGUUGGUUGCAAUGUUUUAAAAAUUGGUGGCCAACCAUUCCGAUUAAGGUCAAAUCGUUUGAUAAGUCGCAAAACCCAUUCGGCGGUGCCUAAGCGAGGGUCUAAGCGGCUAGGCGGAGCAGGCGGGGCUGGGAGAUCUGCCUGGGCGAUUGAGUUUGUUUGAAAAAAAAUUGCAUCCAGAACGAAAAGCGUGAAGUCUGGUGGCCAUCGACAAGAAGAUGCAUUAGCAGGAGCAACGGGUGAGAACAUGAAGACUAUGAAUAGUUUAAAUGACCUAUACUAUACGUCGUCGUUUGCUAUAGCCUAUUUAAGUGGAUCUGCAACUUUUCGUUUGCCAAAGCUAAAUGGGCUUUAAAAUUUAAUGGCCUUCUUGAUCCAACCAAAAACGUCCAAAACAACAAUAUACCAAAAGAUAGUUAAUGGGCUUUUUCAUUUCUAGUUUUAUUAAACUUAGUGGACUACAUUAAGUUUUAAAUAUUUGAAAAUUUCAAGUAUAAGAAUGUAAUUAUUCAUAUGUUUUAUAGUAACUUUAAUAAAAAUAAAGAAAUAUAUAUAUAUAUAUAUAUUAUAUAUAUAUGUAAUGUCAUCCAAUACUAGUAUAGGUUUUUUUCUAAUUAAAAAUAGACACUAUUUAUAUGAGAUAUAAUAAUUUACUCAAAUCCGCCUAACCCGCCUAGAUGCUAGGUCCCAACUCACCGCCCAACUAGCGCCUAUCGUCUUUUAGAACCUUGGUUGGAUGUUUAUUUUGCAAGUGCAAUUUCAAAUAAACUGUUCACCUAAUUUUAAGCCCAAAUAUGUUGAAAGCCCAAUUUCUCCUCUAUCUUUCUUCCUUUUUUUUUUCUUUUUUUUAUUAAAACUCUACUAAGGUUUGAAGACAAACUGUAGAGCACAUAGAGCGUGGUGAAGGCAGGCAAGGAAGGCUUGCUGUUUCUGAUUUUGAGACGAGAAAAGAGAAAUACAGCAAAAGCUACCCCAACUUUCAAAAAAAGGGGCUUAAUCUCACCAUCAUUAGAAACCCCUAACCAAAUAAUUUAGAAAAUAAUAAUAUUUUUCAAUCUAUUAAAAAAAAAAAAAAACUGAACCGAACUGAAACCGAACCGAAAAAAUCCGAAGAAGAACUGAACCGAAUAAUAAAUUUAUUUUGGUUUUUGGUUUCGGCAAAAAAACCAAAUCAAAUGGAACCGACCCCAUCCCUAAUACGAAUUGGCUACUUACAUGUAUUUAAUAUUGUUUGUACCAUACUUGACCAAUCUUGAAACUACCGAGCAUCGGUCAACGUUAUACCAUCAAGGACCCAAAAGAGUUUCCCUCCAACCAGGAGGCCAAUCACAGUGGGACAUGUGUCGACAUCAGAAGCCAAUCAUAGCGCGACACAUGUCAACAUCAGAAGCCAAUCACAACACGACACGUGUCAAUGUCAAAACAAAGCUAAAAACUCUCUUUUAUAAAAGGAGAUCAUUCUCCCAUGAUGUUGCCUAAUGUCAUUUGUACUAAAUCAUUCACUAGUACUCACAAAAGAAGAGCUUGAACCUAUGUACUUGUGUAAACCCUUCACAAUUAAUGAGAACUCCUCUACUCCGAAGACGUAGCCAAUCUGGAUGAACCACGUACAUCUUGUGUUUGCUUCCCUAUCUCUAUCCAUUUACAUACUUAUCCACACUAGUGACCGGAGCAAUCUAGCGAAGGUCACAAACUUAACACUUCCUAUUGUACCAAAGUCCUCACUGAUUUUGUGCAUCAACAUUUGGCGCUGUCUGUGGGAACAACACUUAUUCCCACUCUCUUCAGCUUUGUCAAGCUGGUUUCCACCAUUCGUACAUUAUCUUUUGACCAAGCAUCCCUUUCCAACAUGGGGAGCGAAGGAAGCCACAUCACAAAGAAUGACACUUCCCUCAUACCUGGUGUUAAGCAAUGAAAAAAUGAACAAAAAAAGUUUGCUCUUCAAGCUAAAGUCGAUGAGUUAGACGCUCAGAACAAUAAGAUAACGAUGAAGAAUGAGAUCCUCCAAGAGUAGUAUGAAAAGGUCUUCGAGAUGCUCCACAAGGCUAGAUAUACUAAAACACAUGAGCUCAUCACCCAUGUGGAAGUCAACCAUCAACUGGGUGCCCCCCAACACGAAGGGUCAUUUGCCCUCGACAUGGGUAUUCCUGUUGAGGAGCGAGCUACUCAUCAAAAUGGCAACCAACAUAAGACUUAUUUCAACCCAGCUGCUUCAACCCGAAGCAGGAAGAGCGGAGGAAGACGCCUCCUUACAGAAGGAAUGGAAGGAUCGAAAGUCGUCUUUCACGACUAUCGAGACUUCCUAAAGCAACGUCGAGACAAUCUCAUCCAUUUAAGCUCAAAGAUCAAUGACCUAAAUGUCUCUGAAAGACUCGGUCCCCUCCCAUGUCCUAGGCCGACUACCAAUUUGGGGAAGGGGCAACAAGUCUUAGAGAAACACGAAUGUAUAAGGGACUUAGAGAUGUUCCGACAAACAUACCUUGGAAGUCAAUACGGCGAGUCCAGGGAAAAAUCACAUGCUCUUGAUCAAACCUUCCUACUUCCAAGAAGAGAUAGAGAUUUACGAAAGAAAGCUCCAGUGGUACAUGACUCCACGCAUGACCCUCUUGUCCUAUAAUUCUUUAAGGAAGUAAAUAAGUUAAAGGUCGAAUGACAAGCUGAGAUACCUGAUUAGAACUAACCUAGGCCUGGCCCUCUUACAAGGAGGAUCCUCAACACCCCCUCCAAGAAAAGAUAAAGCAGAAGUUUGGCUUGCAACUCUAUAUUGGAAAUAAGGACCCGAUUGAACACCUUAACCUCUUUGAGUCCACCAUGGCAUAUUAUAUGCACGCCGAUGAAGAGCGAUGUCUUCUCUUCUCCUUCACCCUUUCUGGCGAAGCUCUAAAUUGGUAUUAUCGUCUUCCACCAAAGACGGUAGACUCAUUUGAGGAAUUGAGGAAACUGUUUGUUUCUCAACACAUUUUUCAGACCGAUCGCUUGCAUUAUGCGGAUAACUUGUACACUAUUUGCUAGAAGUUAGACGAGUCAUUACGUAUAUAUGCUAGCCGCUUUAGCCAUGAGUAUUCCCUUUGUGCUGAGGCAGACGACAAGACCCACCCAAAUGAGAUACCAAUAGAAACCCCCAACAACCAUCCCCUAUCAGCAAGUGGGGAGUGAAAGCCAUACCCACCCAAAUGAGAAUACUUUAACCUUCCAAACGGCAGUGGUACCUCCCCCUGCCUUACUUAAUACUUUGCCAAGUCAACAUACAUAUCAAUCUCAGAGCAAAAGGAAAGAUUUCCAUCCUCACCAGUCUCAUUUUAGUAAAAAAAGUAAGGGACAUUACCGCGAUAACCAAGGGUAUCGCCACAAUAAUCCUCGACCCCAGGCAGUCAACACAGUGGGUCAAGCACGUGUCAGGACAGACCAUACCCCGAGGUAUGAGGCAUACACACCUUUGAACUCCACAUACGUGGCCAUUUACCCCAGCAUAGCACACCUGCUAUCGAAGCCAAAACCGAGGCAUCUGGAUUACAAGCCCACGAAGAACACAGGCACAUUUUGCUAUUACCACGAGCAUAACGGCCAUAACGACGAGAAGUAUAUCACCUUUUGUGAUCAUAUUGAAGUUUUGGCACAUGAAGGAAAAAUUGAUCAAUUCCUCAUUCACCCUUCAAUGGGUAACCGUAACCAACGCCAGGUGAAUGUGAUAUAUUCCAUAAGUGGCGGCACACCCAUAUCUAAAUCCUCCAACAAGGCCAUGAAAAAUAAUGAGUGAGCUUUAAUGCCUGGACAGCAAGUGUUUCCCGUGGAAGACAUCAGGGGAGGCAAGUAUCAAAAGCCUAACUGGGAUCCAAUAUGUUUCUAGCCUGAGGAAGAAAGAGGUAUCAUAUACCCUCACAACGACUCACUGAUCAUGGAAGUUCACAUAGCCAACUUUGAAGUACGACGAAUCUUAGUAGACAUAGGGGCUUCGAUCAAUAUCAUGUUUGCUGAAGCUUUCAGGGCACUUAAUGUAGCUGAACACUUGCUCGAUUGUUCGAUUUCUCCUCUGAUAAGCUUCUCCAGUGAUAUCGUGUAACAUUUAGGGAGCAUACACUUACCUUUCAUCAGUGGUACAUGCCCUUACACAGCUACCAUUACCACUAACUUCCUAGUGGUUGAUUGCCCAACGGCAUACAAUGUCAUCUUUGGACGCACAUGCAUCAAUGAUCUUAAGGCCAUGGUAUCCACAUAUAUGUUGUUGAUGAAAUUUCCAACCCCCUAUGGCAAUGGUUACAUCAGAGGAGAUCAACUUAGUGCAUGAUCAUGUUACAACACUUCGGUCAAGCAACAUCACUUGUCUGUGCCCAAAGAAACCCUUUAUAUACAUGACCAAGUCAUAAAGACCAGCCGGGACGAAGCCAACUUGGAUCUUCACGGUAGUAACAGUUGACCCGACGAUCCUCGAUAUGACUCUUUCACCCACCAAGCAUAACAUGCUAAAGAGUUAGAGAAUGUCUCUAUCUCAAAAGAUUAUCCAGAUCACAUGGUGAAGAUUGGCACCACCUUGUCACCACUCAUUUGGUUGGCAUUGAUCUCUUUUUUGCAAGAGAACACGAAGGUCUUUGCCUGGUCAUACGAGGACAUGCCAGACAUCUCUCCCGAUAUUAUCUGUCAUCGUUUGAGUAUUGACCCCAAGACCAAGCUGGUGAGAUAGAAGCGAAGAUCUUAUGACGUUGAACGAUACGAAGCAAUGAAGGCAGAAGUUGAAAAACUCAAAGGCAUAGGCUUCGUCUGCGAAGUCAAUUACCCAACAUGGGUAGCAAAUGUGGUCCUUGUUAAGAAAAAUCCAACCAAAGAAAGUCUCUUGCUCCAAAAUGUCUUGUGGAGAAUGUGUGUUGAUUACACCGACCUAAACAAGGCUAGAGGCUGUUGGCCAAAAUUCGUACCCCAAGUUCUUUGGUCAUACCACACUUCAUAUCGGACUUCAACAGGAGAAACUCCAUUCUCACUUGCCUUUGGUACAGAGGCAGUUGUCCCAGUUGAACUUGAGCAAGCAACGUUCUGAAUCCAAAACUAUAUGCAAAGUGAAAAUGACAAACAAAUCACCCUCAACUUGGAUCUAGUCGAGGAACACAGAAACCAGGCUCACUUGAGAAUGUCGCCUACAAGCAGCGCAUAUCCAACUACUAUGACUCAAUGGUCAAACCUCGUUCUUUCAAAGUAGGGGACUGGGUAUUGAAGAAAAUAUUACUCUACGACAGAGUCCCGAGUGAAGGAACACUUAAUCCAAAUUGGGAUGGACCGUUUGAAGUUGUUGGCAUCAGUCGCCCUGGCUCUUACAAGCUCAGAAGCUCCGAUGGCAAGAUCCUUGGCCAUCCAUGGAACGUUGAUCACUUGAAGUACUAUUACAAGUAAACUCACAUUGUAAAAGUGUUAAGAUUCAGCCGUUCGACAUCCUAUGUAAUGAAAACCAUUAGGCAUGAAUUCAAUAAAGAGGUGAUUUAGACAACUCAGUCCUAAUCUUCUUACAUUCCUAGCAAUGAAACACUCGAGUUCAAAGCUUCCACAUGAAACAAAGUCUAAGUAUAUAUCAACAAGACUAUACAAAUAAACGAACAACUUCACAGUAUAUUCGUUCAAUCAUACAUUCUAACACAUUCAUACAUAAGCCAACUGUGCUUCGAAAGGGUUCAACAUACUUUGUGUCAUUCAACAUUUGCUACAAUGUGCCUCGGCACCUUGCCCUUAUUCUCGCUAACUAGGUGAUGAAGGAACUUACCUUCGUGCCGCCAAUCAGGUGAUAAAAUGUACAACCCGUACUCUAAUAUUAUUUGGCAACUUGCCACUCUUAUCACCAACCGGGUGAAGAAGGAACUCACCUUUGUGCCACCAACCAGGUGAUGAAAUGUACAACCCGUACUCUAAUAUUAUUUGGCAACAUGACGCUCUUAUCACCAACUAGGUGAAGAAUGAACUCAUCUUCGUGCCACUAACCAGGUGAUGAAAUGUACAACCUGUACUCUAAUAUUAUUUGGCAACUUGCUACUCUUAUCACCAACUAGGUGAAGAAGGAACUCAUCUUCAUGCCACCAACCAGGUGAUGAAAUGUGAUGAAGGAACUCACCUUCGUACCAUCAACCAUGUGAUGAAAGCAACUCACCAUUCAUUCCACCAACUAGAAGACGAGUGGUACAACUUGUACAUGUGAACUCCUAGUUUCACAAAUAAUCAAAAACCCUCAAGCUUUACAACUCAACUAGGGGAGCACUUAUGCCCAACAAGAGUUAUAGUCACCAACAAAGUCUUAUUAGAAGCCAAUAACGGCUUCAGUGCAUGGUAUACGAAGACCAAGCUAUUCAGCCCUCUUGCAUCUGCUUCAGACAUUUCCCCUCUGUAACAAUGCAAACACUACAACUCGUAGAAAGCUUCACACACUCUUCAUCAAGAUUGUUCGAACCAAAUUCAAUUUAUAUGGUUUAUCCAAACCUUCGACUACUACAAAGUGUGGCUUGUAUAUGUUGUCUCUCCUACAUUUUCAAAUUUCCAAUUUUCCAAAAAAAAAAAAAAUCAAAAAAUCAAAAAAAGGGAAAUUGGGAAAUUCAAGAAAGCUUCAUCAAUGGAGGAUAACUACAAAUCCUCAAAAGCUUCACACACUCUUAAUCAAGACAAUGUGAAGCAAAACAAAUUUAUGGUGCAAACAAGAGCUUCAUCAAUGGAGGCCAACCACAAUUCUCAAAAGCUUCACACACUCUUGAUCAAGACAAUGUGAAGCAAAACCAAUUUAUGGUGCCAACAAGAGCUUCAUCAAUGAAGGGCAACCACAAUUCUCAAAAGCUUCACACACUCUUGAUCAAGACAGUGUGAAGUAAAACCAAUUUAUGAUACCAACAAGAGCUUCAUCAAUGGAGGGCAACUACAAUUCUCAAAAGCUUCACACACUCUUGAUCAAGACAGUAUGAAGCAAAACCAAUUUAUGGUGCCAACAAAAGCUUCAACACCAAAGCUACACCUACAAAGUUUCAAAACAAAAGUCUUCACUUACAAAGCUUCAAUACCAAAGCAUCACCUACAAAAGCUUCAACUCCAAAGCUUCACCUACAAAGCUUCAACACAAAAGCUUCACUUACAAAGCUUCAACACAAAAAUUUCACAUACAAAGCUUCAACUCUAAAGCUUCACCUAUAAAGCUUUAACUUCAAAGCUUCACCUACAAAAGCUUCACAUACAAAGCUUCAACUCUAAAGCUUCACCUAUAAAGCUUUAACUCCAAAGCUUCACCUACAAAAGCUUCAACUCCAAAGCUUCACUUACAAAGCUUCAACUACAAAAGCUUCCACUCCAAAGCUUCACCUACAAAAGCUUCAACUCCAAAGCUUCACUUACAAAGCUUCAACACAAAAGCUUCACCUACAAAAGCUUCAACUCCAAAGCUUCACCUACAAAGCUUCAACACAAAAGUUUCACCUACAAAGCUUCAACACAAAAGCUUCACCUACAAAACUUCAACUCCAAAGCUUCACCUAUAAAGCUUCAACACAAAAGCUUCACCUACAAAGCUUCAACUCCAAAGCUUCACCUACAAAAGCUUCAACUCUAAAGCUUCACCUACAAAGCUUCAACACAAAAGUUUCACCUACAAAGCUUCAACUCCAAAGCUUCACCUACAAAAGCUUCAACUCCAAAGCUUCACUUACAAAGCUUCACUACAAAGCUUCAACACAAAAACAAUUGUAGGUGAAGCUUUUGUGUUGAAGCAUUUGUAGGUGAAGCUUGGCUACUAGCAAGACACCUCAUUCGUCAACUCCCUCGACCAGAGACUUAGGGGACUCCUACCAUAUGCUGCUACACCUCGGUACUUGGAAGGUUCACGACUACUCAGUGACUUGGAUCUUUCAAGUCUCCAACCGAGAAGUUUUCCUCAUUCGGGAAAUUAAGGGAGCACUACCUCAACUUACAUGCUUCACUCACAAAACUUCAACAUACAAAUUUCAACAAAAGAAAAAAUUCAAAGAACUUAGUGAAGAAGGCUUUGGUGUAUUUAACACAAUACGUUGAAAUGAAGCAAAGCUUAUUUAUUGAUAUCUCCGAUAAGUUACAAAUAUGUACAUAUACAUGAAUCAAAAUAAACAAACAAGAAUGAGCCUUCACACAAAGGUUGCUCAGGAGAAGUCUCAGCAGUCAGCAGAGCCCCAGAAAGAGGAGGCACCGGAGGGUGAUCAUUCGGAGCCUCAGUACUGGGCAGAACCCCAGAAGAAUGAGGCACCGAAGGUUGAUCAUUUGGAGCUUCAUUACGCGGUACAGCCCCAGAAGACGAAGACAAUAAAUGCCUUUGGAACAAACCCACAAACCUCUGAUGAUCAAGUAAAAUCUGACCAUCAGAUUCCUGCAGCUGGUCAAGCUUCAUCUUAAUGUUUGUAGCAUAGUCAUGUGCGAGCAUGUGCAACUGUUUAUUCCCAUGCUUGAGCCAUUUGAUCUCCUGUUUGAGACUUAUCACUUCAGCCGCCAAUGAUUCAACUUGGCGAGUUCGAGCAAAUAGGCGUUGGGCCAUAUUAAACAUAGAACCUGCACACUGAACACUAAGAGCCAGAGAAUCCUUAACAACCAACUCAUCAGACCGUUACGAAAAUAGUUUGUUAUCUCUCGGAGUGAGAAGGUUCCUGGCCACCACCACAGCAGUCAUAUCAUUCUUCAUCACAGAGUCCCCAAUGGCAAGAAGACUAAUAGGGGAUAAGAAUGAGGGGCGCCAUAUGUUGUCUUGAGGAGACAUGGCUGCCUCUUCACCAAAGUUCAAGUUAAAACGACGGUCGGAUGUGCCAAACAUUUUCAGAAAUGAUGAAGGAAAAAUGAGUCCAAUAAAUCUCUGAAGUACAAAAAUAAGGGGAAAAUUCCUAUAAGCAAUAACUAUAUGAACGUACUUCUUGCACACAAUUGGUGCCCCUAUAAAAGAAAGGGCAGCAUGGCCGUUUGUCCAAAAAUCGAAGAGGCACCACUCUCCGGAUUUCGAGAAGUGGAUUUUCCUGAGUAAAAUAUGUCGACAAUCCCCAUACGCAACAUCGGCUCAUUUGGUACCAUGGAUAAUUUGCCAAAUAUCUCUGACAAAGUUUAGACACAUAAAAUUUAAAGGUCCAGCUACCCUACUAUUACCUACAAGGGUAAAUGAACAACACCACUGCUUGAUAACUAGUAAGUUCCAAUGUGUGUCAACAUUCGUGCUCCGUGGCAAGGCAGACUGGCAAAAAUAUCUAACCUUUACUCACAUCCGAGAGAACACUCCCAACAGGAUUACUUGCUAAAAAAUCGAAGAGGUACCGCUCUCUAAAUCUCGAGAGCCAGACUCCUACCAGGAGUGCUUUCUCAAAAAUUAAAGAGGCACCACUCUCUAAAUCUCGAGAGCCAGACUCCCACCAUGAGUGCUUUCUCAAAAAUCGAAGAGGCAACGCUUUCCGAAUCUCGAUAGCCAGAUCCCCAACAGGAUUGAUUGUUCGAAAAUCGAAGAGGCACCGCUCUCCGAACUUCGAGAGCCAGAUUUCCCAGGAUAAAAUUUGUCUACAAUCUUCGCACGCAACAUCAGUUUUCCAGAUACCACAGACCACUUUUUCAAAGUGCUUUGACAAAGUUAAAACAUGCGAAUAUUGCAGCUCCCACUACAUUACUAUGACCGGGAAGGGUAAAGAAACAGCGUUACUACUCGCUGUUGGGAUAAUUCAUAUAUAUGUUGACCUUCAUCAUCCACAACCAGGCAAACCUGCAAAUAAAAAAAAUGCUCAACUUUUCUUCACAUCCAAGAGGGUACUCUUAGCAGAGUCUCUUGAAAUACUCAGUUUCUUUUCCCCCCAAUAAUACCUCUGCAAACAAGCCACACCAGAGCAAGAGUAUCUCAUAUCAUCAGGGUUAAAAGUAAGGGUAUCCCAUAUCAUGCUUUUUCCCUGUCUUUUCAUUUGCCAUUGCUCUUACCUGCAAGACAAGGAGAAAGAAAGCAAUCAGUUGGAAACUGAAAUCAAACUUCCGAUCUGAAACUGAUUGCCCAGAACCUUUGCUUGGUUGCUCACCUAGCAUUGCUCGAGUACUCAUCCUUAAUUGUUGUCAAGGUCGCGAAUUCUUUCGACAAAUACCUCAGAACACUUGGACCAUUCAAAUGCAAAGGUUGCGCACCACUUCUGCGAUGCAAAAGAUUGAAGUAGAAGGUUCAACGAUGAGCUGGAAUAGAUCACUAUAGCACGACGCCCUUUGCAGAACCGCAUAAUCCAGACGGAUGAGUCUAAGUCAAAUCCAAGUUCGACAUCGUUGCUCUAUCCGAAUAGCUUGAGAAGCUUCAACAACCUUUCGUUAACACCGUCACCAAAGAGCAAAGCCUCGCCAUGCCAUAUCCACUACUUUGUCAACAGCAAAGGUAUCCCAUAUCAUCAGGGUCGAACGUACUCUAGAUUUGAUGGACUUGUUUUAACCCUCAAAUUCUUGAGUCGGCCUUAUACUCUGGAGGAAACUAGAAAACCCUCUAGCCCAGUUCAAGAAUAAGCUUGUGGAAAGUUACUUCUUCAAAAGCAAAAGUAUCUUAUAUCAUCUAUUCUCAUUUUUCUUCUCUUUAUCCUUCUUGCUACCUGCAAGAUAGGGAGAAUGAGAACAAUCAGCCGGAACUUGAAAUCAAUUUUCUGAUCUGGGACUAAUUGUUUGGAACUCUGAUUGCUUACCUUGUCUGUCACCUCUUUCGGUAGAUCUCCUAGCUCGGCGACUUGGGGGACUCUUACUACAUGGUUUGUAUCGCGCUUGACCAAGCCUGAAACUACAAGUAAGCUUCAAGUGAAAUUAAUACAUUACCUUGUGCAUCUCCACCAGUUAAAAAUAUCAUCCCUGGAUGGAGGAAAAGUACUUCCAGAGAAGAUGCCACAUCUACCUAUGAGACAGAUAAGGCAAGUGAAAGCGAUACCACACUUCGGUACUUAGAAGUUUUGUGAUUACUCAGCGGCUUGGAUCUUGCAAGUCCUCAACCGAGGAGCUUCCCUCACUUGGGAACUUAGGGGAGUACUGUUUGUACCAUACUUGACCAAUUCCGAAACUACCGAGCACCGGUCAACGUAAUACUGUCAAGGACCCAGAGGAGUUUCCCUCAAAUCAAGAGGCCAAUCACAGCGCGACACGUGUCGACAUAAAUCAUAGCGCGACACGUGUUAACAUCAGAAGUCAAUCACAACACGAUACAUGUCAAUAUCAGAACAAAGCUAGAAACUCUUUUCUAUAAAAGGAGAUCAUUCUCCCAUGAUGUUGUCUAAUGUCAUUUGUAUUAAAUCAUUCACUAGUACUCACAAAAUGAGAGCUUGAACUUAUGUACUUGUGUAAACCCUUCACAAUUAAUGAGAACUCCUCUACUCCGUGGACGUAGCCAAUCUGGGUGAACCACGUACAUCUUGUGUUAACUUCCCUAUCUUUAUCCAUUUACAUACUUAUCCACACUAGUGACCGGAGCAAACUAGCGAAUGUCACAAACUUAACACUUUCUGUUGUACAAAGUCCUCACUGAUUUUGUGCAUCAACAAAUAUAAUCAUCAUUUCGAGUCUUCAACGGUCAAACAGUGGUUAUAUUAAGUACAUAUACUUGCAUGAAUUCUAUAUGAUCAUUAGAUGUUGAUUGUAUUAAAUACAACCAAGUAUUGCAGCUAUUCCCACAACAUACAUAUUUCAACAAUAAAAAACUUGCAUUUACAUGAUUUUACUGUUAUAGUUGUUAUAUUUAAUUUUCACAAUUAUUAAAUCUUUUUUUUCAUCCUUUUAUUUUUUUUACCGCUCAGUUCUACGAUGUUCUGAUUUCAUAAAUUCAACAAGAGCUACUAUUUUUAAAUAAAAAAACUAUAAUCUCGUGGGAUUUACAUUUGGGGAUGAUAACAAAAAGAAGCAUCCAACUGAAACUCGAACUUAGCCGGCCACCUCGUAUACUUCUCGUCGGAAUUACAUUUAGGGAUAAUAACAAAAGAAAGCAUUCAACUUAGCCGGCCAGCUCGUAUAUUCUCAGUGGUUACUUGUGCCCUCGACGAUCCUCUAUAAGGUCGCAAACUCUCACCACCAAACUUGAAUUUACCGAACUUUCCAAUUGCAGCACACAGAGAGAGAGAGACUCAGUAAGCAUGGCUAACGGCGACGAACACGGCGUCACUCACGACCUCCUUUCUCUCCUCUCCUCCGCCGACAGAAACUUCCUCCUCCGCAACAACGGCGACCAGGUAAAACUAAAACCAUUAUAUUUUCUCAUCAAAGUUUCCGACGGUAUGUUCAUUAACAUCGCAGGAAACUAUUUGUAUUUUGUUCGUAAAGUAUUAAAAUGUUAAUCUAUAUGUAAUUAUAAUAGAAACCCAGGUGAUUAAAUGCUCGGGAAUUGCCUAGUUCAAUCUCAAAAUGUUGACUUUGGCAUUUAUGAAAAGAAAGACUGAUUGAGAUGGCUGGUUUUUUAUUUCUAGGUAAAAUGGUGAUUUUUUUAUGAAUAUGUAGGUUGAGAUCAGUAGUUUGACCGGAAAAAUUGUGGGGUUGUAUUUCUCCGCCACGUGGUGCGGCCCGUGCCUCCGAUUCACCCCAGACUUGGUGGAGGUUCACCAGGAAUUGGCGGCCAAAGGCGACUUUGAAGUUGUGUUCAUCUCUUCUGAUAGAGAUGAGGAAUCGUACACUGGAUACUUCUCUAAAAUGCCUUGGCUUUCGAUUCCCUUUUGGGAUUCGGAGACCCGGAAACGCCUCAAGGAGUUCUUCAAAGUCAGGGGGAUUCCCAAUCUUGUCAUUAUUGAUGCCAAUGGGAAGGUUUCCAUUGAUGAUGGAACUAAAAUUGUGAGGGACUACGGCGCCAAUGGUUAUCCGUUCACUGCGGAGAGGUUUGCAGAGCUCGUUGAGAUAGAAAAGGCAGAGGAGAAAGCUCAAACCCUGGAGUCAAUUUUGAUUUCCGGGGAUCGAAAUUUUGUCAUUGGAAAAGAUGGAACUCAGGUAAGACAUAUAGGUUCCCCGCUUUUGUGGUUUAUACCGUGAUAUUCUUGUGUGUAAAUAACUUGUAUGUGCGUGUGCAUCUGUGUGUUUUCUGUGGUAGCAUGUGAAUAACAACUAUUAUUUCUGCAUUCAGAUCCCUGUGGCAGAUCUAGUGGGGAAGAACAUCCUCCUUUAUUUCUCAGCUCACUGGUGCCCUCCAUGCCGCGCCUUUCUGCCAACACUCGUUGAAGCCUACCACGAGAUUAAGGCCAAGGACGAUGCAUUUGAAGUCAUUUUCAUCUCAAGUGACAGAGACCAAGACUCUUUUGAUGAGUUUUUCGCUACAAUGCCAUGGCUUGCUCUUCCCUUUGGUGACUCAAGGAAAGCGUUCUUGAGUCGCAAAUUCAAGGUCCAGGGCAUCCCCAUGCUCGUAGCAAUCGGUCCUACUGGCCAAACCGUCACAAGAGAAGCAAGAAAUCACAUAAUGGCUCAUGGGGCGAAAGCUUAUCCUUUCACCGAAGAGCAUCUUGAAGCGGAAUCUGAGGAGAUGGCAAAGGGGUGGCCUGAGAAGUUGAAGAGUGCACUCCAUGAGAAGCACGAGCUUGUGCUCUCGAAGCGCACAGUUUUUGUGUGCGAUGGGUGCAGAAAACCGGGA